UAUGAAUGAAUUUUCUGGUUUUUUUUUUGUGUUUUUUUUAAAUUUAUAUUAUUGUUGAAAAUAACAAUAUUUUUUCUAAGACUAAAAGACCCUAAAAUUUUUAUAAUUUUUUUAUUUUGUUGGGGAAAUAAUUUUUCUAAAAUUUUAAUUAUUUUUAAUUAUUUUUGAACUUUUUUUAAUGAUAGAUUGUUAAAAUACUCUAGGG
rnacentral:rRNA from 1 species